CUGACUUGUAGGAGGAGGGACAGGAAAAUGCCUUUCUCUGUGGGAGACAUUAGCCCUGUGAUCUCAUGAAUAUAUUAUAGAGGGUCAUUUUGCAAUGAGGAAGGCAUACUGAGCUGCCAGGUUGUGGCCUGCCCAAGCACAGACUGCAACAAGCUUCUGUUAAUUGAUUAAUUUAGUUGAUUAGUUUACUAUUAAUUAACUUACAGGUUAAGACAUGCACGGACGUUUGUAAUAAAUAAGAGUUAGCAUAAUAAUAUUUAAAGAGUUUGAAUAGCGUACUUACUCCUGAACUUAACAGUCUGGGGUGUGAAAACAAAAAUAUAUAUUAUUAAUAGUCAAACUACGCUCGGUUAUCAAGCAGCCUUGUCUUGUUAGCCGGACUGCGACACUAGUUAGCCAGCUAGCUAAUGUCGUCUAGCUAAGCUAGCUGUCUACAAUCAAGCGGCUUCAUCGUCUUGGCAGCUGGAGCAGGCGAAAGGGCUGCCUCUUGAGGACAGUGGGGGCUCUCUGAUGAUCCCCCCGUUCAUCCGAUGAACCCCCUCAACUCCAUGAAACCCUCCCUGCCUCCCACUCCACAAAGCAGUGACGGCCCCUUCCUAAAUGACCCAGUCUCCUGGCAACCAGGCACCAAUCAGCACCCAGGAUCUCUCUCUGUAGUAACCACAGUGUGGGGCGUGACCAAUCCCACACACAGCCAGGUGUUCGGUGCACCCAUGGGUCCGGGUGAGAGCUCUGGCGGUCACAUGAUGCCCGGUGGCAGCCCUGGUAUGGGUGCUGGCAUGGGCUCCCAGUUCAUGGGCCAGCAGUCGUAUGGAGACGCCGUCUCGAAAGGAUACGGCCAGCCAGUCAUGUACGGACGUCCCAGUGCUGCUUACAACCCAGCCUCUGCUUACGGUGGAAGUUACUCCGGUAACAGUGGAGGUGGCGGUCUGGGCGUUCGUCCUCCCUCAGACUUCACUCACGCUGCUGCCGCUGCUGUUGCCGCUGCCACUGCAACUGCCACGGCUACGGCGACUGUUGCAGCAAUACAGGAAAAACAGAACCAGGAGCUGAACUAUGGCCAGAUGGGUGGAGCUUCCUCUUACAGCACCCAGUUCCUGUCUCACUCGGGCCCCCGCGGCCCCCCAGGGAUGGUCUCUUCCAGGCCCGGACCUCCACCUUCCACCGGAGGCUUGUAUCCUGCCCACCCUGCCCAGACUCAGAAGAUGCCCCAGCACGGAGGGUAUCCAGGGGGACAGCAAGGGCUCAAACGGCCUUUUCAUUCAGAGGGUUUUCCCGUGCAGCAGUACAGCUCUGGUGGGAUGUCCGGGUACCCUAGCCAGCCUCUGCAGUACCCGGCUGGUCCACAGCAGCGAUGUGCCCCCUCACCCUCUUACCCCUCCAGUCGGGUGCCCCUCAUGGGACAGUACUCUUCUGGAUCACACAACCCUGCACAGUUCCCCCCUGGAGCUGGUCAGCCCAAUCCUCCACAGUAUUACAAGUCAGAACCAUUUAACGGCCAGGGCAGCCUGCCAUCUGCAGGAGCAGGAGGAUACAACGCCUUCACACAGGCUGCAGUGAACGGGCCAGGUCGGGGUGGAGUGAUGCCCGGAUAUCCAAGCUCACCUAUGGGCGGGAAUCCCACGCCUCCGAUGACACCCGGGACGUCCGUACCUCCUUACCUGUCCCCGGGCCAGGACACAAAACCACCCUACCUUCCACCAGACAUCAAACCCAACAUCAUCACCCAGCAGGCCCCUACAGGUAACCCCAGCGACGACCUGCGUCUGACUUUCCCGGUACGAGACGGCGUCGUGUUAGAGCCGUUCAGACUGGAGCACAACCUGGCAGUCAGUAACCACGCCUUCCAGCUGAGAGACUCCGUCUACAAAACACUCAUGUUGAGGCCUGAUCUGGAGCUGCAGUUUAAGUGUUACCACCACGAGGACAGACAAAUGAACACAAACUGGCCUGCCUCUGUACAAGUGAGUGUUAAUGCGACUCCUUUGUGCAUUGAAAGAGGGGACAACAAAACCUCCCACAAGCCCUUGUAUCUGAAGCAAGUGUGUCAGCCAGGACGUAACACCGUGCAGAUCACAGUAACAGCCUGCUGUUGUUCCCACCUGUUUGUGUUGCAGUUGGUCCACCGGCCGUCUGUCAGGUCUGUCCUUCAGGGUUUGAUGAAGAAGAGACUCCUGCCGGCCGAGCACUGCAUCACAAAGAUAAAGAGAAAUUUCAGUAGCGGCACCAUCCCCGGGACCCCAGGUCUGAAUGGAGAGGAUGGCGUAGAGCAGACAGCCAUCAAGGUUUCUCUCAAAUGCCCGAUCACAUUCAGACGAAUCCAGCUGCCGGCCAGAGGCCACGACUGUAGACACAUACAGUGUUUCGACCUGGAGUCCUAUUUGCAACUUAAUUGUGAAAGAGGGACCUGGCGAUGUCCCGUGUGCAAUAAAACAGCUUUGCUAGAAGGGCUGGAGGUGGACCAGUACAUGCUCGGGAUACUUGUGUAUAUCCAGAAUUCUGAAUAUGAGGAGAUCACCAUAGACCCAGUGUGCGGGUGGAGGCCGGUGCCGGUCAAACCAGACCUGCACAUAAAGGAGGAGCCCGAUGGUCCGGUCCUGAAACGCUGCCGAACAGUCAGCCCGAGUCACAUGGUCCUGCCUAAUGUGAUGGAAAUGAUCGCCGCCCUGGGCCCGGCGUCGUCCCCCUACCAGAGUCUGACUACAGGAGGCAGGAACACCCCGGACUACAACAGGCCAGGGAGCCAGGGAUUCUCCAGCCAAACAGGAUUUACAGACUUCCCCAACACUCCUGGCACCCCGACGCUCGGAGAGUACGCUUCCUCCGGACCGCCGCCUCCACUCCCCUAUCAGUCUGAGCAGACGCCUCAUUCUGGACGACUCGAACACGCCCACAACAUCCUCCAGCAGCACAGUUCAGGUGUUCACGGCAGUCAGAGUCACGGUGACGCCAGCAGUCCACUGCCGCAGAGGAACAUUAAUACCCAGAAUUCCCGGCUGCAGAAUGAAGGCUCCUUCGGUCUGGGAGGCCCGGGAGGACCUGGCGGAGAGGGAGCCGAUCACACACUAGAUUACCAGAUUUUUUUUUGACCAGGACCAGUGACUUCAUGGAGUAUCCACUGGUUUCCUGACAGCUACUCCAAGCCAAGAAAAACUUCUUCCUGAGCUGACCAACCCGGACGAGCUGCUGUCCUACCUGGGCCCCCCCGACCUUCCCAACAACAGCAGUGACGACCUCCUGUCUCUGUUUGAGAACAACUGACCGUCUUCACCAGUCCAUCCUCUGCUUCUCUGUCUGCUGUAGCCCUGCCCUCAUCGGCACGUCUCUGUUGACACCCACUUCUUGUGUGUCUGUGUGCAUAAAUGCGUGUGAGCGCACCUGUGUGUG